rnacentral:snRNA from 1 species
AGAUGUGAGGAUGAUCUGGCUGUGAUAUCUGUCACCCCACUGAUUGGCAGGAUUGAUUUGGCUGAUCUGGCUAGCCAGGCAGUGCCCCAUUCCUCCCUCAGCACUCAAUUUGCAUCUCUCCUGAAGAUGCAUGCUCAGUUGAAGAGAAUGAGAUAGGAGAACUAUUUUUUUGGUCAAGGGUAUAUCAAUAGUUGCACACCACUGCUAAAACCUCUCAAUGAGCUCUCAAGAAAAUAAGAAUAGAAAGUCUUUCUUUAAAGGUGAAAGCUAUCUAUGACAAAAUUCAACUUUUUUGAAAAAGUUGAAUAUGU